rnacentral:rRNA from 1 species
GACAGAGGGUGCAAACGUUGCUCGGAAUCACUGGGCGUAAAGGGCGUGUAGGCGGGUAGAUAAGUCGGGCGUGAAAUCCCUAGGCUCAACCUAGGAACUGCACUCGAAACUGUUUAUCUUGAGUGCCGGAGAGGAAAGCGGAAUUCCUGGUGUAGAGGUGAAAUUCGUAGAUAUCAGGAGGAAUACCGAUGGCGAAGGCAGGUCUCUGGGCUGACACUGACGCUCAUGCACGAAAGCGUGGGGGAGCAAACAGG